rnacentral:rRNA from 1 species
CCUACGGGAGACAGCAGUGGGGAAUAUUGCACAAUGGGCGAAAGCCUGAUGCAGCAACGCCGCGUGAGCGAUGAAGGCCUUCGGGUCGUAAAGCUCUGUCCUCAAGGAAGAUAAUGACGGUACUUGAGAAGGAAGCCCCGGCUAACUACGUGCCAGCAGCAGCGGUAAUACGUAGGGGGCUAGCGUUAGCCGGAAUUACUGGGGGGAAGGGGUGCGUAGGUGGUUUCUAAAGUCAGAGGUGAAAGGCUACGGCUCAACCGUAGUAAGCAUUUGAAACUGGGGAACUUGAGUGCAGGAGAGGAGAGUGGAAUUCCUAGUGUAGCGGUGAAAUGCGUAGAUAUUAGGAGGAACACCAGUUGCGAAGGCGGCUCGCUGGACUGUAACUGACACUGAGGCACGAAAGCGUGGGGAGCAAACAGGAUUAGAUACCCGAGUAGUC